rnacentral:rRNA from 1 species
ACCAAGGGUUCCUGUCCAACGUUAAUCGGGGCAGGGUGAGUCGACCCCUAAGGCGAGGCCGAAAGGCGUAGUCGAUGGGAAACAGGUUAAUAUUCCUGUACUUGGUGUUACUGCGAAGGGGGGACGGAGAAGGCUAUGUUGGCCGGGCGACGGUUGUCCCGGUUUAAGCGUGUAGGCUGGUUUUCCAGGCAAAUCCGGAAAAUCAAGGCUGAGGCGUGAUGACGAGGCACUACGGUGCUGAAGCAACAAAUGCCCUGCUUCCAGGAAAAGCCUCUAAGCAUCAGGUAACAUCAAAUCGUACCCCAAACCGACACAGGUGGUCAGGUAGAGAAUACCAAGGCGCUUGAGAGAACUCGGGUGAAGGAACUAGGCAAAAUGGUGCCGUAACUUCGGGAGAAGGCACGCUGAUAUGUAGGUGAAGCGACUUGCUCGUGGAGCUGAAAUCAGUCGAAGAUACCAGCUGGCUGCAACUGUUUAUUAAAAACACAGCACUGUGCAAACACGAAAGUGGACGUAUACGGUGUGACGCCUGCCCGGUGCCGGAAGGUUAAUUGAUGGGGUUAGCGGUAACGCGAAGCUCUUGAUCGAAGCCCCGGUAAACGGCGGCCGUAACUAUAACGGUCCUAAGGUAGCGAAAUUCCUUGUCGGGUAAGUUCCGACCUGCACGAAUGGCGUAAUGAUGGCCAGGCUGUCUCCACCCGAGACUCAGUGAAAUUGAACUCGCUGUGAAGAUGCAGUGUACCCGCGGCAAGACGGAAAGACCCCGUGAACCUUUACUAUAGCUUGACACUGAACAUUGAGCCUUGAUGUGUAGGAUAGGUGGGAGGCUUUGAAGUGUGGACGCCAGUCUGCAUGGAGCCGACCUUGAAAUACCACCCUUUAAUGUUUGAUGUUCUAACGUUGGCCCGUAAUCCGGGUUGCGGACAGUGUCUGGUGGGUAGUUUGACUGGGGCGGUCUCCUCCUAAAGAGUAACGGAGGAGCACGAAGGUUGGCUAAUCCUGGUCGGACAUCAGGAGGUUAGUGCAAUGGCAUAAGCCAGCUUGACUGCGAGCGUGACGGCGCGAGCAGGUGCGAAAGCAGGUCAUAGUGAUCCGGUGGUUCUGAAUGGAAGGGCCAUCGCUCAACGGAUAAAAGGUACUCCGGGGAUAACAGGCUGAUACCGCCCAAGAGUUCAUAUCGACGGCGGUGUUUGGCACCUCGAUGUCGGCUCAUCACAUCCUGGGGCUGAAGUAGGUCCCAAGGGUAUGGCUGUUCGCCAUUUAAAGUGGUACGCGAGCUGGGUUUAGAACGUCGUGAGACAGUUCGGUCCCUAUCUGCCGUGGGCGCUGGAGAACUGAGGGGGGCUGCUCCUAGUACGAGAGGACCGGAGUGGACGCAUCACUGGUGUUCGGGUUGUCAUGCCAAUGGCACUGCCCGGUAGCUAAAUGCGGAAGAGAUAAGUGCUGAAAGCAUCUAAGCACGAAACUUGCCCCGAGAUGAGUUCUCCCUGACUCCUUGAGAGUCCUGAAGGAACGUUGAAGACGACGACGUUGAUAGGCCGGGUGUGUAAGCGCAGCGAUGCGUUGAGCUAACCGGUACUAAUGAACCGUGAGGCUUAACC